rnacentral:rRNA from 1 species
UACGAGGGGGGCGAGCGUUGUUCGGAAUUAUUGGGCGUAAAGGGUGCGUAGGCGGUUUGGUAAGUCUGAUGUGAAAUCUAUGGGCUCAACUCAUAGUCUGCAUCGGAAACUGCCGGGCUUGAGUAUGGGAGAGGUGAGUGGAAUUCCUGGUGUAGCGGUGAAAUGCGUAGAUAUCAGGAGGAGCACCUGUGGCGAAAGCGGCUCACUGGACCAUAACUGACGCUCAUGCACGACAGCGUGGGGAUCAAACAGG